rnacentral:rRNA from 1 species
CUCCAGACUCCUACGGGAGGCAGCAGUGGGGAAUAUUGCACAAUGGGGGAAACCCUGAUGCAGCGACGCCGCGUGAGCGAUGAAGUAUUUCGGUAUGUAAAGCUCUAUCAGCAGGGAAGAAGAUGACGGUACCUGACUAAGAAGCCCCGGCUAACUACGUGCCAGCAGCCGCGGUAAUACGUAGGGGGCAAGCGUUAUCCGGAUUUACUGGGUGUAAAGGGAGCGUAGACGGCGAUGCAAGCCAGAUGUGAAAGCCCGGGGCCCAACCCCGGGACUGCUCUUGGAACUGCAUGGCUGGAGUACAGGAGGGGCAGGCGGAAUUCCUAGUGUAGCGGUAAAAUGCGUAGAUAUUAGGAGGAACACCGGUGGCGAAGGCGGCCUGCUGGACUGUGACUGACGUUGAGGCCCGAAGGCGUGGGGAGCAAACAGGAUUAGAUACCCGCGUACA